GUGCCUGUAGCUGUCAAAUGGUAGACCGGCCGGCUGUGACCCGGCAAGUUGGGGGUUCGAGUCCCCUCAGGCACCCCA
rnacentral:tRNA from 1 species